rnacentral:rRNA from 1 species
GACGAACGCUGGCGGCGUGCCUAAUACAUGCAAGUCGAACGCAGUGGGGACGGGUCAGUAACACGUGGGUAACCUCCCCAUCAGAGGGGAUAACACUUGGAAACAGGUGCUAAACCGAUAACGAUGGAUGAACCCGCGGUGCAUUAGCUAGUUGGUGGGGUAACGGCUCACCAAGGCCACGAUGCAUAGCCGGGCUGAGAGGGUGACCGGCCACACUGGGACUGAGACACGGCCCAGACUCCUACGGGAGGCAGCAGUGGGGAAUCUUCGGCAAUGGACGAAAGUCUGACGGAGCAACGCCGCGUGAGUGAAGAAGGUUUUCGGAUCGUAAAGCUCUGUUGUUAGAGAAGCGGUAUCUAACCAGAAAGCCACGGCUAACUACGUGCCAGCAGCCGCGGUAAUUC